AAAGUGCUAGUAAAAAGAUUAUACUGCCUUGUCGAGGCAGAGUUUUGGGUGAAAACCCCAAGCAUUUUG
rnacentral:tRNA from 1 species